UACGGAGGGUGCAAGCGUUGUUCGGAAUCACUGGGCGUAAAGCGCGUGUAGGCGGCUAUUUAAGUCUGAUGUGAAAGCCCUGGGCUUAACCCAGGAAGUGCAUUGGAUACUGGGUAGCUCGAGUACCGGAGAGGAGGGUGGAAUUCCUGGUGUAGCGGUGAAAUGCGUAGAUAUCAGGAGGAACACCGGUGGCGAAGGCGUCCCUCUGGCCGGAUACUGACGCUGAUGCGCGAAAGCGUGGGGAGCAAACGGG
rnacentral:rRNA from 1 species